UAGGGAAUCUUCGGCAAUGGACGAAAGUCUGACCGAGCAACGCCGCGUGAGUGAAGAAGGUUUUCGGAUCGUAAAACUCUGUUGUUAGAGAAGAACAAGGACGUUAGUAACUGAACGUCCCCUGACGGUAUCUAACCAGAAAGCCACGGCUAACUACGUGCCAGCAGCCGCGGUAAUACGUAGGUGGCAAGCGUUGUCCGGAUUUAUUGGGCGUAAAGCGAGCGCAGGCGGUUUCUUAAGUCUGAUGUGAAAGCCCCCGGCUCAACCGGGGAGGGUCAUUGGAAACUGGGAGACUUGAGUGCAGAGGAGGAGAGUGGAAUUCCAGGUGUAGCGGUGAAAGGCGUAGAUAUAUGGAGGAACACCAGUGGCGAAGGCGGCUCGCUGGUCUGUAACUGACGCUGAGGCUCGAAAGCGUGGGGAGCAAACAGG
rnacentral:rRNA from 1 species